ensembl:lncRNA
CCUGGGGAGAGAUUAAACAGCUCACCACACAGGCUAAACAGAUGCUACCAAAAAAUGGCAUCCUUUUCACCCCUAAUAGUCUUUUCCUCGCAAUGAAAGCACAAGUCACCUAUGAUUCCAAAAUGGUGAAGGUAAAAACUUUCCUUUUCUCCUUAGGUCUACUCAUUUGUAUUUCCAAUAAAUGGCAUAGUCCAUUGGGUCCAUGUUCUUAUACCGCAGUAUAUGCCCUGUCCAAUAUUCUGACCUUGGAAAAUUGAGGGAUCUAUAAUUUAAUGGUGUUAUCAUCCAGUUCAACCUAGAAUUUUAGUUUACUUUUUAAUUAGAGUGGCAGCCCUACCUUAUGGAAUCCUCGGCUUGCUGGACCUUUGGUAUAUCUUUCUUCUGGCACCUAUUUAUGUCCCCUUUAAAAAGCCUGAUGGCAUUUAGCUAUUCUUUUCUUUCCUUGUCCUGUCAUAAUCAGCAGCUAUCUACAUAGAUAAGCACACAUGGAUUGCUAAUGAUACCUCUGAUCAUCUCAUGAUUUGUAUCUUUGAUCCAUAUAUCCUGAUCCUUACUAAGGAGGGACCUAUUUUCAUGAUUUACAAUUCAUCCACUCCUCAGUACUGACCUUUUAAUGUUCUCAAUAUUACUUUGCUUGCAAAUUCCACAUGGCACACUCCAUGUGUCACUAGUAAUAACAUGUCUCAAUUAAAUAUUAACUCAUAUUAUGGUGGUUAGACAAAGUGCUGAAGCCUGGCUCCCCACCAGUCUUACACAUGACUGGAUGGGAAAUUCUGCUCUUGAACAAAUUACCUCAGCACUUGAACAUAUCAGACAAAAACAGUUUUGGGUGUUUUGAUUGCUGCUAUUGUAGCAGCAAUGGCAUUGGCAGCUACCAUAGCUAUAGCAGCCAUCACCUUAAUUCAUUCCAUCCAAACUGCACAAUCCAUGAAUGGCUAUUUUCAAAAUGUAACUUCUGAGCUCUUAACUCAAACCAGUAUCAAUAAGGAAAUUUUACAAAGAUUUGUCACCCUCGAAGCUGCACUGGGAUGGCUUGGCGAUCAUCAAAAAGCUCUUGUGACACAUAGUAGGCUUAGUUGUGAUGCUGGUUACUGUUUUGUGUGCAUCACGCCAAUUCCAUUUAAUCAUUCUGAAUACUGGGACAAAAUCCAGCAUAUGUUCCAUAGUGCUUUUCGUGCUGGUCUCAAUGGAGAGAUUUCCAUUCUCCAAGGCUGAUUACAGGCCCAGUUACAUCAACUUCAACUGGAAACUUAUAAUAUUGCUCUGACAUCUCAAUGAUAUUGCCUAUUGGCUGAAUCCCCCAAAUUUGUUUUCGAGGCUCAAUCUAGGCAUAUGGAUUUGGAUUGCUACUGGAAUCAUUUUCUUUUUGCUCUUUUCUUAUAGUCCUAACAACCCUCUGUACACUGUUUCGGCAGAUGCUGUGUGCUGAAGCCAUGAUGACCUUUCCCCACCAAGCCCAAUAUCUCCCUUCCCUUCACCCUAUACUUUUUCUCAAGCUCAAAUACAAAAGAGGGAUAUGUGGGAACUUUGACCAGAGAUGGAUGUGCAGAGAUAAAGGGAGCUUUGGAGUAACAGCCCAAACUUUCUGGAAUGCAUGGUUAAAGAUUAUAGGAUACGCCACAGGACAACAGUCAAAGAAGGAUCACAACACAUUGUCUUAAGGAAGGCACACCUGUAUGGAAGGGUUACUGAGAUUGGAAUGUCUGGAUGUUACAGAUGGCUCCAGCCACAAGAAUUUUCAGUAUCAAGUAUGAGGGGAAACUUAAAGAGUUUCUUUGCUGUCUGUUCCCUUUUCCUCCCCUGUCCCAGUCUCCUGCGUUGCUCUCUGCUCCUCCUCCUGGAAAUGGGAGCUUGGUCUGAGGAAGCACUCUGUGUUCUGCUUUUUGUACUGUGGAGCAGAUCAGGUCCAUCCAGUGUGUAGACUGCCUUAUGCAUGGGUCGUGCAGCCUCUCAGCCCUGACUCCAGUCCCCUCUGCUCCAGCUCCUGGGUUUUCCCCAAGUGCACUGCACACUCCCUUUGUAGGGAUUUUGCCCCUCUGCUCCCUGCACCUGGAACCCUUCCCCCAGAUACCUGCAUCCCAGCCUCUGCUCACUCCUUUUUACUUGUCAGCCAUGGUUGAGUAUCAGUUCUCAGUGAGGCUUGCCUGACUCCCUCCCCACUCUCCUGAUUCCUUCCCCUACUUCAUCUUCCCAACCGUAUAUUAACCCACUGUAGCAGGUGCCUUAUGCUCAUUAUUGAUGCUUGGCGUCCCCCACUAGAACGCCACCUGCAUGAGGGAAGUUGUUUAAUGUCCAUUUCCUCUGUGGCCCACGGCAGUUUCCAGGAGUCCCUGACUUCUCAGGGUCUGUCCCAGUGCCAAGCUCCUGAAGGUCAGAGCUCGUGCUAGGGACCUGGCUUGUCCUCAAGCCCCUAUCCAAGCAAGCAGGCCAGCUCGCCAAGCCACAGGACAAAGGCUCCACACCCUGACUCAGCCUCCAGGGAGGACAAAUGUCCCAACACGCCCUGCAGGGCCACUUAGUCAUUUUCCAGGUACAACUAAUUUGCUAUACACGUUCUUUUCCAGCAUGCGAAUUGUUUCCUCAAAAAGACUCAUACGUAGUGGGGUGAGGUCACCAGAGAGCAGCCUAGACAAUGACAAACCCGCGUCGCGAGGUUCCUAGCUCGGCGCUGGCGCCCCCUGGUGGUGCUGCGGGUCGCGCCGGCCGCAGAGCGAGCCCUGAACAGGACCCUUGGCAGGACUCGCCCCUAUUCCUCCAUAAAUAUUUGCCAGUUGAAAUAUGAAAUGAAAGUGGCUAGUAUAAUGCAGUCGUGCUUAGGGCCUUGUAAUGUGUUGAAUUUUAAUUAAAAGUGAACAAUCCCCCGAGGCUGACUAAAAAGGGGGAGCUGUCGCUAAAGUCAAGGUACAGCGAGGGGAUUGCAGUUCCUCUUUGUUUACCUAAGACAGUUAUUUGUGUUAUGAAACACUUAUAUGUACAUUAAAACCAAACCAAAAGAACAUAAACCCCCAUGUCCUCUCCACCCAGGCCCCAGAUUACCAAGAUUUUGUCACUCACUUUAUUUGUCCUUUUUUAUUUUUUAUUUGCUGUUUUCCUCCUUAACUGUUGUAACCCAGACAUAGUAUUUAUUUUACCCUAAAUCUUAGUGUGUAUUUCUUAAAACUGUGGGCACUUUCAUAUAGAGCCACACUCCAUUAUCAUAUCAAAAGGUCCAUAACCCCUGGAGAAGUCAUCUAAAUGCCCCUAUAAACAGUCUACAUUUAGGUUUUCUUGAAAACGUUUUACCGUUAUUUGUGGAGCCCCACAGUGCACAAGUUGUAUUUGGUCAUUAUGUCCUUUAGUUCCCCUCUUGAUUGACUUAUCCUUAGUAUGGCAAAAUGCAUAGGUGUUAGCCGGCGGAUGAAUUUUGACAAAUGUGUUCCCCUAGUAACCCACUCUGUCACCUAGAUAGAGGACAUUUCCAGGGUCUCAGGAGGUCACCUCAGUGACUUUGAGUCAACAUUGCUCUGAUUUCUUUCACCAUGGAUGACUUUUGCCUGAAUUUCUUACAGAAUGGAAACUUACAGCAUGUACUUUUGUUGUGCCUGGCUUUUUACAGCUCAGCAUAGAGUUGUUGCCUGUUCCCUGUUGUUACUGAGCUGCAUUCCAUUGUCUGCACCUGUCACACUUUGCUUCUGGAUACUCUAGCUGCUGGCCAUCUGGAUUGUUCCCAGUUGGUGCCAUUAUGAAUAAAGCUGCUAUGAAUAUUUUGCGUGGACAUACGUUUUCAUUUCUUUUUUCUUCUUCUUUUCUUUUUGUUGUUCCUGAAUCUCAUCAGAAAGCCCUGUGGUGGCCUAGUUGCACAACCCCAAUGAAGGCACUAAGAUCGGUCAGCAGAUCACGGAGUGGUGCCCAACUCCACCCCAGCCUGUGUUGGGCCCUGCCUGCCUUCCUGAACAAAUGAACUGUGCUUUGAGUCAAUUAUCCUGUUAUGAAUUACAAAAUGCUAG